UACGUAGGGUGCGAGCGUUGUCCGGAAUUAUUGGGCGUAAAGAGCUUGUAGGUGGUUUGUCGCGUCUGCUGUGAAAAUCCGAGGCUCAACCUCGGACUUGCAGUGGGUACGGGCAGACUAGAGUGUGGUAGGGGAGACUGGAAUUCCUGGUGUAGCGGUGAAAUGCGCAGAUAUCAGGAGGAACACCGGUGGCGAAGGCGGGUCUCUGGGGCAAUAAACUGACGC
rnacentral:rRNA from 1 species